CCUACGGGUGGCAGCAGUGGGGAAUUUUGGACAAUGGGCGAAAGCCUGAUCCAGCAAUGCCGCGUGCAGGAUGAAGGCCCUCGGGUUGUAAACUGCUUUUGUACGGAACGAAAAGACUCUCUCUAAUAAAGAGGGCCCAUGACGGUACCGUAAGAAUAAGCACCGGCUAACUACGUGCCAGCAGCCGCGGUAAUACGUAGGGUGCGAGCGUUAAUCGGAAUUACUGGGCGUAAAGCGUGCGCAGGCGGUUAUGUAAGACAGAGGUGAAAUCCCCGGGCUCAACCUGGGAACGGCCUUUGUGACUGCAUGGCUAGAGUGCGGCAGAGGGGGAUGGAAUUCCGCGUGUAGCAGUGAAAUGCGUAGAUAUGCGGAGGAACACCGAUGGCGAAGGCAAUCCCCUGGGCCUGCACUGACGCUCAUGCACGAAAGCGUGGGGAGCAAACAGGAUUAGAUACCCUUGUAGUC
rnacentral:rRNA from 1 species